UGAAGCUAUUCAAGCAGUUCAAUCCCUCAAACUUGCCAAAUCUCCGUCUAAAUUAAAGCAAGUUCUGAAUACCAGACUUACUCGUCUUAUGAAAGCUGAUUUAUUGGAUACUUUGACUGAACUUCAGAGACGAAAUCAAUAGGAUUUAGCCCUUAAGAUUUUGAGAAGAUUGAUGAAGUCAACGGCAACUAAAAGUGUAAAGAUUAGUAACCAACAAAGUAAUCUCAACCAAUCAUAUAAAAUAAUGAGAUUUAAUGCUAAAGAAAGCUUACAAGAAUUAAAGAAUGUUUAAUGGAGUACCAAAAAGAAGACCAAAAAGAGGAACCAAAGAACAGGAAGUAGGAGGAAGAAGAGAUUUUUCCAUCUCAACCCCCCUCGUGCUCAAGGGAGGCUUAACCUAAUUUCCCCUUAUUAAAACUCAAUUAACCUUAGGAACUUAAUUAAAUUAAAGAUAAGAUAAAAUAAUACAAAAUUAAAAAUAAUGAAAAAAAGGUUGCACGGAAUGAAGAAGGAAAAACCUAUUCGACGAUCAUCUCCACGCCCAGGAAGCCGAGUCGGCUUUUUAGGCUGACAAUUACAGCUAAACUUAUAAUGGUCGUUAUCUCUUUCCCAGUUGUCGGAAUUGAGCAUAUAAUAUAUCGUUGGAUAGCUCUUGAAGUCUAAUUUACAAUUUACAAUGCCGCAAACCAUGCAUUAAUACAAUAUUUCUAUUAAAAGUUAUGACCAAAGAAGUAGACAUGUAUCAAAUUCCACCUCAAAACUUUUGUAUUAUAAACACUCUUCUACUCAAACUCAAGUUGAAACCUUUUAUUUGAAUCUUUAUGCCUUUUAGAGAAUACAUAAAUGAAAAUUAUGGCAAUAGAAAAAGUUAUAUGCAGGAAAGGACGACAAUCGACAGUCGAUAGGCAACACAAACGUCAAUCGACAGGGACAACAAAUGUCCAGGUGGCCGACAUGAGGCUUUGACUAGUGGGUUGUGGUCUUGGUAGAAGCUUUAGGGUUUUAAUGAAUAAUGAGAGUAAAGGUUAGGGAGAACUUGAGAGAAGUACAUGUCUGAGAGGAUUACGCGCAUUACUUCACCCAAAAUUUUCCUUUAAGUUUUUUUUAAAAAAGUUCCCCGAGGCACGUGCCUAGUGGGCCCCAUGUAAAUUCAUUAAUUACCGUGUAUAUUUAA